CCAUCAUGGGCGACCUUCUAACAAAGAAACUUCCCGCGUUUAAGCCAUUCAAAUCUUGAGAAAUCAAUAGCCCUAAAGAACGAGCACUGUCAACAGUAUAGGAACUUGGGGUGAGACGUUCGAGAUCAGCACUAAAUGGAGAUAUCAUAGGUUCAUUCUUCAUUAACUUUUCCACUAAAACGUCAGGUGACAAAAUAUGUUCUUGAAUAGAGAGUUCUGUGUUCAAAAUUAACGCAUCUUGGUCCAACCACCAAAUCCAUUUCGCAUGAGGAUGCUUAUUCAUUGUUUGUAUAAUAGCGGGCAUUUUGGCCCACACUGGAGGAAUGUUCAUUUGGCUUACAUUAACAUAUUCAAAGCCAUAGUUGUGAUGCUUUGCGUAGUUAAUUCGGUUUUCUAUGCAUUGAUUAAAUGUUUCAGGUGCCAUAUUGCCACUUGAACGUCCAUCACUCGCUAAGAGGAUUACUAUUUCAUGGGAUUUGGGCUCUUGAGGAUCAUCCUCGUUAAUUGUCGCUUGAUGAUACGUCGUGCUAAGGCCUUGCAUAUCUUCAUCCAGAGGUACUAAGUAGUCGUAUUCUUGUACACUUGGUUUGGAAAAUACAUCUUGUAAACGUUCUAAAGCAGGUGAAGCAGAAAAAGAGUUUCCAAAUUGGAAGUAAAUGAGAAAAGAGCUAAUCCCAAUGAUUAACAACACGAAUAUAACACGAGAUAACUUCCACUGUAGGACUGCCAUUUUAAAGAUUAGCAGAUGUUAAAUGCAAAUUAAUAAAAAAAUAAAAAAUAAAAUUUAGUCUUUUAGAGACAAGAGAAACUCUUUUUCAAGUUUCACAAAUAUAAACUGAGAUUGGAUAAAAGCAAAACAAUAAGAUACCAAGAAUGGAUCAGAAAUUAUGAAUGAAAUGGGAAACUUUCUACUCUUUCUCGGUAGAAAAUUAGAAAGCCGUUUUAAAAAUUAAAAUGAGAUUUGUGAUAUUCCAAAGAAUACUACGUUUGAAACACGAAUCUUCGCCCGUUGACUCAAGAAACGAGAGAAAACAGUA